ensembl:lncRNA
AUGCCUCGCGAAAAGAGUGUUAAAGUGAAAGAAGUUAUUACUUCUCUCUGUAAAUUACUGUCUGUAUUAAGCGUCGAGUCGAUACCAACAGCUGAGGCAUUCAGGAGAGCCAAAUUCAACAGAAAAGAUGCGGCAGAGGACAUGUGGAGUUUGCUAAGCAGGCUUUUGCAGAAAGCUUUUGCUCUGGAUUGUGCAUGCUGGGACUUCAGAGACCAAGACUAUGAUAUGCAGCUGUUGUUUGUCAGGAGUGCUCUGUGUUACUGUGGCUAUGGGGCCCCGUGGGUGGUGGGGCCCUGGUCUCCCAGUCACAUAGAAGAGGUGCGGAGCCGCGAUUUGCUCCUGGCGUUCGGCUGGGUGCUGUCAUCAGGGAAUCUGCUAGACUUCAUGCUGGCUGAGAAGGUUCAUCAGUUUGACACACUCUCAUCUGCACCAUUGAUCCCCCAAGGUCUAAUACUUGGACAGCCUGACGUAGCGGCACAUGGACCAGGAGAGGAUGCCUCAGUGAAGAAGGACCCGGUACUACAGGCACUGCAGUGGGAGUAUGGGAAACUCAGACUUCAGUGGAAGAGCUUACUCUCAGCCCAAGAGGAGAGGUCCAAAUUCACUCAUAGGGUUAUCUCCAGUAUCAGCCCCUCUGCUGUCUGUCAGCCUCACAUCACUGGUUCCCAUCACAGCAACACGACAUCAACUGCUCUUGACAAGGAGCUGGAGCGGAUACAAGCGUUGAAUGGAAUUCUGGAGGCGUAUCUGGAUUGGAAAUGCCACGAACCUUUAUUCUGGUGCUGGAUGGACAGCGUGAUCGACAGCUCCCUCGCUGAUGCGUCCGAGGUCGAUCUUGCCGAUUGGCCACCAGGGGAGCGGGCUGUCACGGUGAGGUGUCCCCACGGAGACGAGACCAGGAGAGCAGUCAGACGACUUGACAAGAUGUUGCUAAGGCUGCAGACAGAACUGAGAGCCAGAAGAAUAGAGCAGUCCACUCUCACACUCACCUCACAGGCGGGGGGCAGAGGGUCGAGAGGGCAUGACUUCGAGGGAUUUUUGGAGAUCUGAAUGGUGUGUGCGAGCGGGAAGAUGCAUCAGACUACUUAAUAAAGCUGGUACACAGGGAUGACA